UCCCUGUCUACAGUGCUAAGCACCAUCCUCUGCUUGGAGCCUCAGAGCUGUCAGGGAAGGAAAUCAGAGUUGCUGUAAGAAUGCAUAAAAACUGAGACCAAGGAUGUGGAGAGCUGAGGCACCUCUUCUCUCACCCCAGAUGAGUACAUUCUCCCAUCCCAAGAAGGAGAGUCACCUAAGUGUCAUGAAACAGAAGGGACUCCAAAGACUCCAAGGACAAUAUUGGUCACUGCCCGUGGUCAUCAGCCCAGCCAUAAAGAACGCGGAGGGAGUCUUUCUGCUCACAUGGCCAUCUUCUAGGAACGAGGAAGCCACCCAAUAAGUCAGCAUCCCAGAGGACCAUCCCCAGGAUUUUUCCUUCCUAGCCUUUGCUGAGGCAUAAGCUAUCUGUAAAAGGAUCUGCAAAUGCGAUCUGGAACUUUUCUUCUGAGCUUCCUUCACGCCUUUUCCCUCUCGCGACAUCCAGUACCCUACCCUCAGGGAAGAGAUUUGAACUUGAGGCAGCAUGGAAAAAGCUUAGCCCCCACAGGUCAUGCUCCCUCCAAGGUCAAAGCCCUGAGGAUUCCUCAGUAGCAAGGGCUAGGCUGGGAGCUGGAGCCCCCCCUGUGAACAUUCACAUCAGUCGAGAGGAUGGGUCCCUCACCUUUAUUACUCUUCAUUUCCCUUUUUGUCCCAGAUCUCAGCUCAGACCCAAAGGCUUUUCCAUUUACCAUCAACAUGGAAACUUGACUCUUCACAUGGAUAUGUUCCCUAUUUUUAUGCAUUAUCUUGUUCCUCAGUGCUGCCUUUUCUUGAAGCAGUCUGAGAAGGCUUAAAAGGCCUGGUCAGUCACCCAGGCCUCAAUACAGCCCGCCAGCCCUCAGUGGAAAAAUUUAAUAAAGGCUCCAUGUCCUCCUUGACGGCUGGGACUUGUGUCUUGUGUGCUGAUUCAGAAGUAAAGACUUGGGUCCUUUUUUCCCUUCUUUCCCAAAGCAGGUGGUGUUUGUGCUACAUAGAAAUGGCAGU